CAGAGUAUGUCCACCAUAUAAAGUAAAUAAUAUCACAUAUCUUGUCUAUAUGUUUCAUCCAUACUAAUCAUGUAUAAAAUAGAGAGCAGAUAUAUAUUGCAUACAACCUAUCAUCUCUCAAAAAAUCAAUAGUGCACAAGCGCCCUCAACUGAUGAGGGUAUACAUCGGGAGGAUAGGUACGGACGAUCUCCUCCUCUAUUAUAUCUUCCCUCUUGUACUAAUCCUUCUUCAACCUCCCCUUAUAUUCUCUAUAUUUGUGAUUGAGG
rnacentral:lncRNA from 1 species